AAUACGUAGGGGGCGAGCGUUGUCCGAAGUUACUGGGCGUAAAGCGCGCGUAGGCGGCUCUUUAAGUCCGGCGUGAAAGGUUCAGGGCUCAACCCGAACAGUGCGCUGGAGACUGGGGAGCUUGAGGAUGGGAGAGGGAAGCGGAAUUCCGGGCGUAGCGGUGAAAUGCGUAGAUAUCCGGAGGAACACCGAUGGCGAAGGCAGCUUCCUGGCCCGUAUCUGACGCUGAGGUGCGAAAGCGUGGGGAGCGAACG
rnacentral:rRNA from 1 species